rnacentral:pre_miRNA from 1 species
UUAGCUCAUAUUUGUAUGGAGUUGGAACGUUUGCCUACGUUUGCCGCUAGGGGCGCUGUCCCACCUGCCUACAAUUGUGAGUUA